CGGGUGAGUAAUGUAUGGGGAUCUGCCUGAGUGGGCGGGGAUAACUACUGGAAACGGUAGCUAAUACCGCAUAAUGUCUGCGGACCAAAGCGGGGGACCUCCGGGCCUCGCGCCAUCAGAUGAACCCAUAUGGGAUUAGCUAGUAGGUAAGGUAACGGCUUACCUAGGCGACGAUCCCUAGCUGGUCUGAGAGGAUGAUCAGCCACACUGGGACUGAGACACGGCCCAG
rnacentral:rRNA from 1 species